CCGUGAAUAACCUAAGGCGCUCGAGAGAACUGCCGUUAAGGAACUAUGCAAUCUAACCCCGUAACUUCGGGAAAGGGGGUGCCCCUAGAUGUCCAGGCCUUUACGGUCGAAGCAUUUGGGGGUCGCAGAGAAAUGGGACUGCCGACUGUUUACUAAAAACACAGGUCUGUGCGAACUCCAAAAGAGGAAGUAUACAGACUGACGCGUGCCCAAUGCCGGUAGGUCAAGAGGAGGAGUUAGCGCAAGCGAAGCCCUGAAUCAAAGCCCCGGUGAAUGGCGGCCGUAACUAUGACGGUCCUAAGGUAGCGAAGUUCCAUGUCGGGUAAGUUCCGACCCGCAUGAAUCGCGUAACGAGUGGUCCGCUGUCUCAACGGCAGGCUCGGCGAAAUUGUAGUCGUGGUGAAGAUGCCACGUCCCCGCAUCAAGACGGAAAGACCCCGUGAGCCUUCACUAUAGCCUGAUAUUGGGGCUUGUCCUGCCGUGCGAAGGAUAGGUGGGAGACGUUGAAGCUGGGCUCUCGGGUCCAGUGGAGUCACCGGUGAAAUACCACUCUCGGUAUGAUAGGCUUCUAACGCUGCACCGUGAAUCCGGGCAGCGGACAGUGUCAGGUGGGUAGUUUGGCUGGGGCGGUCUCCUCCAAAAAGGUAACGGAGGAGCGCGAUGGUGCACUCAGCGCGGUUAGCAAUCGCGCGUAGAGCGUAAGGGUAGAAGUGCGCCUCACUGCGAGAGAUAUAGCUCGAGCAGACACGAAAGUGGGCCCUAGUGAUCCGGCGGAUUCCGAGUGGAAGGGCCGUCGCUCAUCAGAUAAAAGGUACUCCGGGGAUAACAGGCUGAUCGCAUCCAAGAGUUCAUAUCGACGAUGCGGUUUGGCACCUCGAUGUCGGCUCGUCGCAUCCUGGGGCUGUAGGAGGUCCCAAGGGUUUGGCUGUUCGCCAAUUAAAGCGGCACGUGAGCUGGGUUUAGACCGUCGUGAGACAGGUCGGUCCCUAUCUGGUGUGGGUGCAGGAUGACUGAGGAGGUCUUCCCCUAGUACGAGAGGAUUGGGGAGGACGGUCCUCUGGUGUUCCAGUUAUCACGCUAGUGGUAUAGCUGGGUAGCUAUGACCGGAAAGGAUAAGCGCUGAAUGCAUCUAAGCACGAAGCCCUCUCCGAGACGAGUCAUCCCAUGAGUCCCCUGGUAGACCACCAGGUUGAUAGGCCGGCGGUGCAAGAACGGCAACGUUCUCAGCCUACCGGUACUAAUCGGACGAUCGGCUUAACCAC
rnacentral:rRNA from 1 species